rnacentral:rRNA from 1 species
UACGGAGGGUGCAAGCGUUACUCGGAAUUACUGGGCGUAAAGCGUGCGUAGGCGGUUUGUUAAGUCCGUUGUGAAAGCCCCGAGCUCAACUUGGGAAUUGCAGUGGAUACUGGCAGGCUGGAGUACGGUAGAGGAAGGUGGAAUUCCCGGUGUAGCAGUGAAAUGCGUAGAUAUCGGGAGGAACACCAGUGGCGAAGGCGGCCUUCUGGACCAGUACUGACGCUCAUGCACGAAAGCGUGGGGAGCAAACAGG